AGAGUUUGAUCCUGGCUCAGGAUGAACGCUAGCGGCAGGCUUAACACAUGCAAGUCGAGGGGCAGCACAUGAGUAGCAAUACGAUGGUGGCGACCGGCGCACGGGUGAGUAACACGUAUGCAACCUGCCUGUAAGCGGGGGAUAACCCGGAGAAAUCCGGACUAAUACCGCAUAAGACUUUAGUUCUGCAUGGGACAGAAGUUAAACAUUUAUGGCUUACAGAUGGGCAUGCGUAUGAUUAGCUAGUUGGAGAGGUAACGGCUCCCCAAGGCAACGAUCAUUAGGGGUUCUGAGAGGAAGGUCCCCCACACUGGUACUGAGACACGGACCAGACUCCUACGGGAGGCAGCAGUGAGGAAUAUUGGUCAAUGGGCGAGAGCCUGAACCAGCCAAGUCGCGUGAAGGAAGAAUGUCCUAUGGAUUGUAAACUUCUUUUGAAGGGGAAUAAAGUUCACCACGUGUGGUGUUUUGUAUGUACCCUUCGAAUAAGGAUCGGCUAACUCCGUGCCAGCAGCCGCGGUAAUACGGAGGAUCCAAGCGUUAUCCGGAUUUAUUGGGUUUAAAGGGUGCGCAGGCGGGAUAAUAAGUCAGUGGUGAAAGUUUGCAGCUUAACUGUAAAAUUGCCGUUGAAACUGUUAUUCUUGAGUGCAGACAAGGUAGGCGGAAUGUAUUGUGUAGCGGUGAAAUGCUUAGAUAUAAUACAGAACCCCGAUUGCGAAGGCAGCUUACCGGACUGUAACUGACGCUGAGGCACGAAAGCGUGGGGAUCAAACAGGAUUAGAUACCCUGGUAGUCCACGCAGUAAACGAUGAAUACUAGCUGUUCGCGAUAUACAGCGAGUGGCACAGCGAAAGCGUUAAGUAUUCCACCUGGGGAGUACGUUCGCAAGAAUGAAACUCAAAGGAAUUGACGGGGGCCCGCACAAGCGGAGGAACAUGUGGUUUAAUUCGAUGAUACGCGAGGAACCUUACCCGGGCUUGAAAUGCAGAGGAAUAAUGUGGAUGUGAUUGGUUUAAGCGGUUUGAUUACGCCAAGUUUAGACGAAAUGGUACAUAUUGCCAAUGAACUGGAGCGUCAAAACCUUAACUUUCCAUUGAUGAUUGGGGUAUCGUGACUGGGA
rnacentral:rRNA from 1 species